UGGUGUGUUGGGGAAAUCUGGAAUAGAAUGGGCUGUGGUGUGUUGGGGAAAUCUGGAAUAGAAUGGGCUGUGGGUUAGACCAGCAGAGUGAGUCAAGGCUGAUGACAUGAAGAGAAAAGUGUAGGAGGACAGGGUAGAGUAGACAGAGAGUCUGAUUGGAACAGCCACUCCACCUUGUCCAUCCCACUAACACAACCCCUUUUCUCUGGAUGCUCAGCACUUGACUGGCUAUUUUUUGCCACGCUUCACUAAAUAAGGCCAGGCAGCGUAGGGGAACAGACGGGCAGGUCAGGGUGGCGCAUGUCUGCCGUUCCUACCUGGCUAUAUAAGCUCCGGGACGGUGGGAGUUUAUUCCGAUCACACUGACCUUCCAUUCUCUCCCAGAGUUUGUCCAUAUCGUUCUUCAUGGUGUCCACUUUUGUCCACUUUUGUCCACUCUUCCAGGUCAUCGUCAGGUGACAGGGUCGUCUUUCUAAAUGUUUUCACUACCUUUUUUUCUCUUCUUCUUCUGUGAUUGGAUACAAACGUAUGUAUUUUUUUAAAUUCAUGAGUACGUUGGAGGAUUGAUAGAAGCCUGUGUUGCGGUGACCUCCGGAUGAACGGCGACGCUGUGUAAUAUGUCUGACUGGCGAGAAAAAUGGAAAAGGACAAACAGCUCAGAGGUUAUACACUUUCUGUCAGAGAUUUCAUCUCUCCAACAUGAGAGGCAAAAUCUACCAGGGACCAGCCGGACACUGCCUGCAGCAUCCACACCGCACGGCCACCACCCCACCAGCCGGACACUGCCUGCAGCAUCCACACCGCACGGCCACCACCCCACCAGCCGGACACUGCCUGCAGCAUCCACACCGCACGGCCACCACCCCACCAGCCGGACACUGCCUGCAGCAUCCACACCGCACGGCCACCACCCCACCAGCCGGACACUGCCUGCAGCAUCCACACCGCACGGCCACCACCCCACCAGCCGGACACUGCCUGCAGCAUCCACACCGCACGGCCACCACCCCACCAGCCGGACACUGCCUGCGGCAUCCACACCGCACGGCCACCACCCCACCAGCCGGACACUGCCUGCAGCAUCCACACCGCACGGCCACCACCCCACCAGCCGGACACUGCCUGCAGCAUCCACACCGCACGGCCACCACCCCACCAGCCGGACACUGCCUGCAGCAUCCACACCGCACGGCCACCACCCCACCAGCCGGACACUGCCUGCAGCAUCCACACCGCACGGCCACCACCCCACCAGCCGGACACUGCCUGCAGCAUCCACACCGCACGGCCACCACCCCACCAGCCGGACACUGCCUGCGGCAUCCACACCGCACGGCCACCACCCCACCAGCCGGACACUGCCUGCGGCAUCCACACCGCACGGCCACCACCCCACCAGCCGGACACUGCCUGCAGCAUCCACACCGCACGGCCACCACCCCACCAGCCGGACACUGCCUGCGGCAUCCACACCGCACGGCCACCACCCCACCAGCCGGACACUGCCUGCAGCAUCCACACCGCACGGCCACCACCCCACCAGCCGGACACUGCCUGCAGCAUCCACACCGCACGGCCACCACCCCACCAGCCGGACACUGCCUGCAGCAUCCACACCGCACGGCCACCACCCCACCAGCCGGACACUGCCUGCAGCAUCCACACCGCACGGCCACCACCCCACCAGCCGGACACUGCCUGCAGCAUCCACACCGCACGGCCACCACCCCACCAGCCGGACACUGCCUGCAGCAUCCACACCGCACGGCCACCACCCCACCAAAUUACCCUCACACCGGAGAACCCUUUGAAAAACCCUUUACGUGUACACCUACAAGCCCUCUACACGCCCACAGAAAGGAUACAACAGCCUGACGUGUCUUAACGUUAAGGGGGCGUUAGGCCACCACAAGUCAGAACAGCUUCAGUGCAGAUUCUGGAACUCUAUUUCCCCUGAACAAGGCAGUUAACCCACUGUUCCCCUGAACAAGACAGUUAACCCACUGUUCCCCUGAACAAGACAAUUAACCCACUGUUCCCCUAAACAAGGCAGUUAACCCACUGUUCCCCUGAACAAGACAGUUAACCCACUGUUCCCCUGAACAAGACAAUUAACCCACUGUUCCCCUGAACAAGACAGUUAACCCACUGUUCCCCUAAACAAGGCAGUUAACCCACUGUUCCCCUGAACAAUGCAGUUAACCCACUGUUCCCCUGAACAAGACAGUUAACCCACUGUUCCCCUAAACAAGGCAGUUAAUCCACUGUUCCUCGGUACGCCGUCAUUGUAAAUAAGAGUUAAAUAAAGGUCAAAUCAAAUCAAAUCAAAUUUAUUUAUAUAGCCCUUCGUACACUAGCUGAUAUCUCAAAGUGCUGUACAGAAACCCAGUUUAAAACCCCAAACAGCAAGCAAUGCAGGUGUAGAAGCACGGUGGCUGGGAAAAACUCCCUAGAAAGGCCAAAACCUAGGAAGAAACCUAGAGAGGAACCAGGCUAUGUGGGGUGGCCAGUCCUCUUCUGGCUGUGCCGGGUGGAGAUUAUAACAGAACAUGGCCAAGAUCGAAUAAUAAUAAGGCAGAACAGUUGAAACUGGAGCAGCAGCACGGCCAGGUGGACUGGGGACAGCAAGGAGUCAUCAUGUCAGGUAGUCCUGGGGCAUGUUCCUAGGGCUCAGGUCAGUUGAAACUGGAGCAGCAGCACGGCCAGGUGGACUGGGGACAGCAAGGAGUCAUCAUGUCAGGUAGUCCUGGGGCAUGGUCCUCGGGCUCAGGUCAGUUGAAACUGGAGCAGCAGCACGGCCAGGUGGACUGGGGACAGCAAGGAGUCAUCAUGUCAGGUAGUCCUGGGGCAUGGUCCUAGGGCUCAGGUCCUCCGAGAGAGGGAAAGGAUUGAGACUCUGCACGCAGAAUUCUGCUAAAAUAUCCUCCGUGUACAACGUAGAACACCAAAUAAUGCAUGCAGAGCAGAAUUAGGCCGAUACCCACUAAUUAUCAAAAUCCAGAAAAGAGACGUUAAAUUCUACAACCACCUAAAAGGAAGCGAUUCACAAACCUUCCAUAACAAAGCCAUCACCUACAGAGAGAUGAACCUGGAGAAGAGUCCCCUAAGCAAGCUGGUCCUGGGGCUCUGUUCACAAACACAAACACACCCUACAGAGCCCCGGGACAACAGCACAAUUAGACCCAACCAAAUCAUGAGAAAACAAAAAGAUAAUUACUUAACACAUUGGAAAGAAUUAACAAAAAAACAGAGCAAACUAGAAUGCUAUUUGGCCCUACACAGAGAGUACACAGCGGCAGAAUACCUGACCACUGUGACUGACCCAAAAUUAAGGAAAGCUUUGACUAUGUACAGACUCAGUGAGCAUAGGCUUGCUAUUGAGAAAGGCCGCCGUAGGCAGAUAUGGCUCUCAAGAGAAGACAGGCUAUGUGCUCACUGCCCACAAAAUGAGGUGGAAACUGAGCUGCACUUCCUAACCUCCUGCCCAAUGUAUGACCAUAUUAGAGAGACAUAUUUCCCUCAGAUUACACAGAUCCACAAAGAAUUCGAAAACAAAUCCAAUUUUGAUAAACUCCCAUAUCUACUGGGUGAAAUUCCACAGUGUGCCAUCACAGCAGCAAGAUGUGUGACCUGUUGCCACAAGAAAAGGGCAACCAGUGAAGAACAAACACCAUUGUAAAUACAACCCAUAUUUAUGCUUAUUUUUUUUAUCUUGUGUCCUUUAACCAUUUGUACAUUGUUAAAACACUGUAUAUAUAUAUAAUAUGACAUUUGUAAUGUCUUUACUGUUUUGAAACUUUUGUAUGUGUAAUGUUUACUGUUCAUUUUUGUUGUUUUUCACCUUAUAUAUUCACUUUGUAUGUUGUCUACCUCACUUGCUUUGGCAAUGUUAACACAUGUUUCCCAUGCCAAUAAAGC